GAGAGAGAUUCUUUAAUUGAGUUGGGAAGAAGAAGAAAGAAGAUGGGAUUAUUUUGGAUCUGGCUAGACACGGUUCACAGUAGGCCACGCUAAUUUUUGUAUGGUUUAUUUUUACGUUUAGAUUUCAAUUUAUCGUAGAGAUAUUAGACGUGAUUAAGUUGUUAAUUAGAGUAUUUUGCCUCUAUCGAUUGAAUUAUAAUUAACUGGAAAAGGUUCUGGUGCACGCUAUUGAUGUUGGACCGGGUGCAGCAAAAUUUGGGUGCUUAUAAUGGCUUAAAAGAUCAGCCGAGGACCAAUAUGUAAAUGGCAGUUUUGGUUUUAGGGAUUGAUCCGUAAAAAAGGCAUAACUUUUUGUCCGUAAGGCAAAAUUUUGCGAUUCAAGUGAAUAGGACUCAUCUUGAAAAUACGGAUGAGAUCGUGUGGUCUAAUUAUCCUGAUUUAUUGUAUAAUUUUUGCAGAAUUUUUAAUAGUUAAAGAGUUUGUUUGAAAAAAUAUUUUAUUUGAGUCUUUUCGUCGUCUUAGGUGCUAAGACGGUUGUAAAACCUCAAUCUUAGAACGUGACAAAUUUGUGAGCACUAAUAGAGGCAAGUAAAUAGAUACUUUUUUGCAAACAGUAGAAAAGAUGUUGAUCCGAGUGGGUUCGGGACACGAUUAUUAUCUAUUUUAUUUACUAGUUGCUAGUACAUCCGAGUGGGUUUUAUAGUUAUUAUUGACUUGCGUGGCUUAUUUAUUUUGCAUAUUAUUAUUAUCAUGAUCUAUUGUUGUUUAUGACUGUUGUGGUCGGAUACCUCGGAGAAGAGGAAUUUAUCCUAUACGAGGUUCUCGAGGAGGAACGGCGUGUUAUUGUCGCUCUCGUGAUUAGAGCGACGGAGUGGAGAUACUCCAAAUUAUGACCAUUGUGAUUUCAAAUUUAAAAUUAUCGUUAUCCUUUGAAGUAGAUUUUUCGUUAAGCAUUGUGCUUACUUUUGUUGUCUACCGUUUCAGGUACCGAGAGUCGGGGCAUGUGAGAUAAUUCGUCGGUGAGAGCUCGUUAAAUAGAUUUUAUAUUUUGGAUAUAUAGUUUAUUUUGAUUUGAGAUUGAUUAAUUUGACAUCUAGUAUUUAUUGCUCAGUUUUGUUUUAAUUAAUAAAUUAUUUUAUUUAGUCUUUAACUGAGAGGAUGGCUUUGGAUUGAUU
rnacentral:lncRNA from 1 species